rnacentral:rRNA from 1 species
CACGUAGGGGACGAGCGUUGUCCGGAUUCAUUGGGCGUAAAGCGCGCGUAGGCGGCUCGGAAAGUCGGUCGUGAAAUGCCGGGGCUCAACCCCGGGACUGCGUCCGAUACUCCCGAGCUGGAGGCAGGUAGGGGAGAUCGGAAUUCCUGGUGUAGCGGUGAAAUGCGCAGAUAUCAGGAGGAACACCGGUGGCGAAGGCGGAUCUCUGGGCAGUAACUGACGCUGAGGAGCGAAAGCGUGGGGAGCGAACAGG